AAGCUUAUAGUAUUCACAAGUACACUUCCUUUACAAAGAAGAAGUUCCGUAUAUAGGGAUGGGCUUU
rnacentral:tRNA from 1 species